rnacentral:rRNA from 1 species
UACAGAGGGGGCAAGCGUUGUUCGGAAUUACUGGGCGUAAAGGGCGCGUAGGCGGCCUGUUAAGUCGAACGUGAAAUCCCCGGGCUCAACCCGGGAACUGCGUCCGAUACUGGCAGGCUUGAAUCCGGGAGAGGGAUGCGGAAUUCCAGGUGUAGCGGUGAAAUGCGUAGAUAUCUGGAGGAACACCGGGUGGCGAAGGCGG